rnacentral:lncRNA from 1 species
AGUAGAAUACGAAAUAUGGUAAGGUACCAUGGGCUUAAGUGAUUUUGGGCAUAUUAUAAGAUAUGGGCCAAAAUACACUUAAGUGGGCUUUUUAGCUUGAAGCCCACACAAGUGGUUCUAUAAAUAGAACCCUUGUGCAGAAGCAUUCAUUGCGGUUGCAUUAUUUUCGUUUUCUCACUCUCUCUCUCUCUCUCACUCAAAGCCUU